UGAUCACAUUUCCCUGUUUCCUUUGCAGAAGGUGCCCAGACGACCCCUGUGUCAUUAAAGCUGCCAAGCAAUGUAGUGGAGGGAUCGGCCCGGGCCUCCUUCUGCGUGCUGAGUGACAUUUUGGGGAAUGCGAUCCAGAAUCUGCACCAGCUUCUCCGGAUGCCCUACGGAUGCGGGGAGCAAAACAUGGCCCUUUUCGCCCCCAACAUCUACAUCGUAGACUACCUGAAUCACACCGGGCAGCUGACGGAAGCUGUGAAAUCCAAGGCCAUCGGCUACCUUGUGGCUGGCUAUCAGAGGCAGCUGAACUA